rnacentral:rRNA from 1 species
AAUCUGGGGCCCUCGGCCUCCGAGUUGUAAUUUGGAGAGGCAUCCUUCUGGGGGGAGCGCCGGCCCAUGUUCCUUGGAACAGGACGUCACAGAGGGUGAGAAUCCCGUGUCAGGCAGGCUGCCUCCUCCCGUGUGAAGGGCCUUCGACGAGUCGAGUUGUUUGGGAAUGCAGCUCCAAGUGGGUGGUAAAUUUCAUCUAAAGCUAAAUACCGGCGGGAGACCGAUAGCGCACAAGUAGAGUGAUCGAAAGAUGAAAAGCACUUUGAAAAUAGAGUCAAAAAGUACGUGAAAUUGUUGAAAGGGAAGCGCUUGAGACCAGACUCAGGCCCGGGCAAACACCGCGCCCCUUGGGGCCGUGCAAUUGCCCGGGGCUGGGCCAGCAUCAGUUGGUGUGGCGGGACAAAGGCGCAGGCAAUGUGGCUCCCCUCGAGGAGUGUUAUUAGGCCCGCGCUCAAUGCCGCCGACGUCGACUGAGGACCGCGCCUCGGCUAGGAUGCUGGCUCAAUGGCCUUCAGCGACCCGUCUUGAAACACGGA